rnacentral:rRNA from 1 species
CCGCUACUGACGCUGAGGAGCGAAAGCAUGGGGAGCGAACAGGAUUAGAUACCCUGGUAGUCAUGCCGUAAACGUUGGGAACUAGAUGUAGGGCCUGUUUCCACGGGUUCUGUGUCGUAGCUAACGCAUUAAGUUCCCCGCCUGGGGAGUACGGCCGCAAGGCUAAAACUCAAAGGAAUUGACGGGGGCCCGCACAAGCGGCGGAGCAUGCGGAUUAAUUCGAUGCAACGCGAAGAACCUUACCAAGGCUUGACAUAGCCGAGAACGCUGUAGAGAUACAGAACUCUUUGGACACUCGGUUACAGGUGGUGCAUGGUUGUCGUCAGCUCGUGUCGUGAGAUGUUCGGUUAAGUCCGGCAACGAGCGCAACCCUCGUCCUAUGUUGCCAGCACGUUAUGGUGGGAACUCAUGGGAUACUGCCGUGGUCAACACGGAGGAAGGUGGGGAUGACGUCAAGUCAUCAUGCCCCUUAUGUCUUGGGCUUCACGCAUGCUACAAUGGCCGAUACAAAGGGCUGCGAUACCGCGAGGUGGAGCGAAUCCCAAAAAGUCGGUCUCAGUUCGGAUUGGGGUCUGCAACUCGACCCCAUGAAGUCGGGGUCGCUAGUAAUCGCAGAUCAGCAACGCUGCGGUGAAUACGUUCCCGGGCCUUGUACACACCGCCCGUCAAGUCAUGAAAGUCGGUAACACCCGAAGCCGGUGGCCUAACCCUUGUGGAGGGAGCCGUCGAAGGUGGGACUGGUGAUUAGGACU